GCAGCCACUCAUUCAAAGAGUGCGUAAUAGCUCACUGGUCGAGUGAUCCUGCGCCGAAGAUUUCCGGGGCUAAAACUUACUACCGAAGCUACGGCAUCAGUAAUGAUGGGUAGGGGAGCUUCCCAUACGGGUUGAAGCAUGACCGUAAGGACAUGUGGACAGUAUGGGAGUGAGAAUGUUGGCAUGAGUAGCGAGAUGUGGGUGAGAAUCCCACAGGCCGUAAACCCAAGGUUUCCAGGGGAAGGUUCGUCCGCCCUGGGUUAGUCGGGACCUAAGCUGAGGCCGAAAGGCGUAGGUGAUGGACAACAGGUUGAUAUUCCUGUACUACCGAUAACCGUUUGAGAGAAGGGAUGACACAGUAGGAUAAGCUAAGCACACUGUUGGUUAUGUGUGCCCAAGCAUUGAGGCAGUCAAAGUAGGCAAAUCCGCUUUGAUACUGCUGGGAGGUGAUGGGGAGCGAAAUUUAGUAGCGAAGUAGCUGAUUUCACACUGUCAAGAAAAGUCUCUAUCGAGGUUAAAGGUACCCGUACCGCAAACCGACACAGGUGGGUGAGGAGAGUAUCCUAAGGCCAGCGAGAGAACUGUUGUUAAGGAACUCGG
rnacentral:rRNA from 1 species